UACGAAGGGGGCGAGCGUUGUUCGGAAUCACUGGGCGUAAAGGGCGCGUAGGCGGCCCUCUUUGUCGCGUGUGAAAGCCCCGGGCUCAACCUGGGAAUUGCAUUCGAGACUGAAUAGCUAGGGUGCGGUAGAGGGAAGCGGAAUUUCCGGUGUAGCGGUGAAAUGCGUAGAUAUCGGAAGGAACAUCAGUGGCGAAAGCGGCUUCCUGGACCAGCACCGACGUUCAGGCACGAAAGCGUGGGGAGCGAACAGG
rnacentral:rRNA from 1 species